CUUGGUCAUUUAGAGGAAGUAAAAGUCGUAACAAGGUCUCCGUAGGUGAACCUGCGGAGGGAUCAUUACAAGUGACCCCGGUCUAACCACCGGGAUGUUCAUAACCCUUUGUUGUCCGACUCUGUUGCCUCCGGGGCGACCCUGCCUUCGGGCGGGGGCUCCGGGUGGACACUUCAAACUCUUGCGUAACUUUGCAGUCUGAGUAAACUUAAUUAAUAAAUUAAAACUUUUAACAACGGAUCUCUUGGUUCUGGUAUCGAUGAAGAACGCAGCGAAAUGCGAUAACUAAUGUGAAUUGCAGAAUUCAGUGAAUCAUCGAAUCUUUGAACGCACAUUGCGCCCCCUGGUAUUCCGGGGGGCAUGCCUGUUCGAGCGUCAUUUCACCACUCAAGCCUCGCUUGGUAUUGGGCAACGCGGUCCGCCGCGUGCCUCAAAUCGACCGGCUGGGUCUUCUGUCCCCUAAGCGUUGUGGAAACUAUUCGCUAAAGGGUGCUCGGGAGGCUACGCCGUAAAACAAACCCAUUUCUAAGGUUGACCUCGGAUCAGGUAGGGAUACCCGCUGAACUUAAGCAUAUCAAUAAGCGGAGGA
rnacentral:rRNA from 1 species